CCUACGGGUGGCAGCAGUGAGGAAUAUUGGUCAAUGGACGAGAGUCUGAACCAGCCAAGUAGCGUGAAGGAUGACUGCCCUAUGGGUUGUAAACUUCUUUUAUAAAGGAAUAAAACGAGGCACGUGUGCCUUUUUGCAUGUACUUUAUGAAUAAGGAUCGGCUAACUCCGUGCCAGCAGCCGCGGUAAUACGGAGGAUCCGAGCGUUAUCCGGAUUUAUUGGGUUUAAAGGGAGCGUAGAUGGGUUGUUAAGUCAGUUGUGAAAGUUUGCGGCUCAACCGUAAAAUUGCAAUUGAUACUGGCAGUCUUGAGUACAGGUGAGGUAGGCGGAAUUCGUGGUGUAGCGGUGAAAUGCUUAGAUAUCACGAAGAACCCCGAUUGCGAAGGCAGCUUACUAAACUGUGACUGACGCUCAGGCACGAAAGCGUGGGUAUCGAACAGGAUUAGAUACCCGAGUAGUC
rnacentral:rRNA from 1 species